GACGAACGCUGGCGGCGUGCUUAACACAUGCAAGUCGAACGGAAAGGCCCUGCUUUUGUGGGGUGCUCGAGUGGCGAACGGGUGAGUCACACGUGAGUAACCUGCCCUUGACUUUGGGAUAACUUCAGGAAACUGGGGCUAAUACCGGAUAGGAGCUCCUGCUGCAUGGUGGGGGUUGGAACGUUUCGGCGGUUGGGGAUGGACUCGCGGCUUAUCAGCUUGUUGGUGGGGUAGUGGCUUACCAAGGCUUUGACGGGUAGCCGGCCUGAGAGGGUGACCGGCCACAUUGGGACUGAGAUACGGCCCAGACUCCUACGGGAGGCAGCAGUGGGGAAUAUUGCACAAUGGGCGGAAGCCUGAUGCAGCAACGCCGCGUGCGGGAUGACGGCCUUCGGGUUGUAAACCGCUUUCGCCUGUGACGAAGCGUGAGUGACGGUAAUGGGUAAAGAAGCACCGGCUAACUACGUG
rnacentral:rRNA from 1 species